rnacentral:rRNA from 1 species
UUGAACUCGGCAAAAUGCCCCCGUAACUUCGGGAGAAGGGGGGCCCGCGGUGUGAAGGGACUUGCUCCUGGAGCACCAUACGGCCGCAGAGACCAGUGGGAAGCGACUGUUUACUAAAAACACAGGUCCGUGCCAAGUCGCAAGACGAUGUAUACGGACUGACGCCUGCCCGGUGCUGGAAGGUUAAGAGGAACGGUUAGCCGCAAGGCGAAGCUGAGAAUUUAAGCCCCAGUAAACGGCGGUGGUAACUAUAACCAUCCUAAGGUAGCGAAAUUCCUUGUCGGGUAAGUUCCGACCUGCACGAAUGGCGUAACGACUUCCCAGCUGUCUCAACCGCGAACUCGGCGAAAUUGCACUACGAGUAAAGAUGCUCGUUACGCGCAGAAGGACGGAAAGACCCCGUGACCUUUACUACAGCUUGGUAUUGGUGUUCGGUGUGGCUUGUGUAGGAUAGGUGGGAGACUGUGAAGCUUGGACGCUAGUUCAGGUGGAGUCAUUGUUGAAAUACCACUCUGGUCACUCUGGAUAUCUAACUUCGAACCGUGAUCCGGUUCAGGGACAGUGCCUGGUGGGUAGUUUAACUGGGGCGGUUGCCUCCUAAAAAGUAACGGAGGCGCCCAAAGGUUCCCUCAACCUGGUUGGCAAUCAGGUGGCGAGUGUAAGUGCACAAGGGAGCUUGACUGUGAGACUGACAAGUCGAGCAGGGACGAAAGUCGGGACUAGUGAUCCGGCAGUGGCUUGUGGAAGCGCUGUCGCUCAACGGAUAAAAGGUACCUCGGGGAUAACAGGCUGAUCUUGCCCAAGAGUCCAUAUCGACGGCAUGGUUUGGCACCUCGAUGUCGGCUCGUCGCAUCCUGGGGCUGGAGUAGGUCCCAAGGGUUGGGCUGUUCGCCCAUUAAAGCGGUACGCGAGCUGGGUUUAGAACGUCGUGAGACAGUUCGGUCCCUAUCCUCUGCGCGCGCAGGAAAUUUGAGAAGAUCUAUCCCUAGUACGAGAGGACCGGGAUGGACGAACCUCUGGUGUGUCAGUUGUUCCGCCAGGAGCACCGCUGAUUAGCUACGUUCGGAACGGAUAACCGCUGAAAGCAUCUAAGCGGGAAGCCGGCUUCAAGAUGAGAUUUCCAUGCCUUCGGGCGAGAGGCUCCCAGCUAGACUACUGGGUUGAUAGGCAGGAUGUGGAAGUGCGGACUAAAGACGCAUGGAGCUGACCUGUACUAAUAAGCCGAUAACUCG